AGGGAGAAGAUAGUGGCGCCAUAACUUUUUUCCAACCAUCAGUUAUAUUUGUUUGGUGACAUAAUCAUAUUAACAAAAUUAUUAAACAUUUCCAAUUGUAAGUAUCUGAAACAAUCAACGGAACACCAUUUGCUUGAUGAGGAGCGGACGUCAUGGAGGCCCAGCAGAAAACCUUGACGAAUAAUGUUAAGACACCUACAGGGAACAAAUAUUCAGAAGCCACCGUUGCCCAAAUUCAUUGCGGCAAAGGUGGUGUUUAGUUGCCAAAAUUUUUUUUUAGCAAAAACAUCACAUUGAAUGUUUGACCGAACGUCGGAGGGGGUUUUCGGACACGAAUGAAAAAACAAAUUUCAGAUUUCGGCUGAAAACCGCGAUACGAAUUUUGUGAGCCUAACUAAUCCAUCAUUAGCAAAUGGUUACUGUAGCACUUAUGGCUAAUCAUGUUCUAAUUAGGCUUAAAAGAUUCGUCUCAAGAUUUCUUCCAGAACUGUGCAAUUAGUUUUUUGAUUCAUCUAUGUUUAAUGCUUCAUUUAAAUGUCCAAAAAUUCGAUAUGAUGUUUUUGGAAAAAAAAAUUUUGGUAACUAAGCAAGGCCAAAAUGUGUGCAAUGCGAACCUUCAACGGCUCGUUCAACAACCAGUUGUUAUUUCUGACUUUUUGGUGGUGUCUUGGCAACUUUAACUGUUCUGGAAAUCUAAAUAAGAAACACAUGAAAGAAAGAUGGUAGAGUUGAAACCCCCUCCCCCCUCCUAAAAGUUAACUGUAGACCAGAAAGGUAAACUAUUACAGCUUAACUGCUAGUUGUAUGUUGGUGUUUAUUUUGUAAGAUUGAGUACAGUACUUUUUUUUAAAAAAAAAGGUGUGGAAUGAAGACAGAAAAUUUACGGUUGUACCUAGUUUCAUGUGGCAAAUUUCCAAUAUUGCGCCUAUUACUUCUUAAAGAUAUUUGACAUGCCUGAUACACAAUGCUGCAUCUUUAUGAAUCAUCUUUAAACAUUAUCAAAACCAUGUGGCUAGUUGAGAAGUUGGGAGAUGAAGCCACAUCUUCAUCCAAACAUGCUCGCCCAUUUGGUCGAUCAGAUAUGAAUUAUUAUCUGUUCUGAAAAAUUGUCCCGGUUCUCAAUGGCCGCAAGAAUAGUGUUGUGAAUUCUUUGAAAUGAAAUUACUACAUACUUUUGUAGUUCUUCAAUGACAUCCUUUGCUUUUAAACAUCACAUCAAAUCUUUCCCAAACCCUUGUUUAGUUAAAAAAAAUUUUCCAAAAACAUCACGUCAAAUCUUUGGACACCUAAAUAAAACAUUAAACAUACAUAAACCAAAAAAACUAAUUGCACAGUUAUGGAAGAAAUCUUGAGACGAAUCUUUUGAGCCUAAUUAGAAAGUGAUUAGCCAUAAGUGCUACAGUAACCAACAGUGCUAAUGACAGAUUGAUUAGGCUCAAAAAAAUUUGUCUCGCGGUUUCCAGCCAGAAUCUGAAUUUGUUUUGUAAUUAAACUACGUUUAAUACUUCAAAUAUGUAUCUGAAAACUUGAUGUGAUAUUUUUGCAAAAAUUUUUUGCAAACUAAACACCACCUUUUGUUUCAUAUUAACACCCAUUCAACAACCAUAUUGAAUGCUUGCUGUUUGGAUUUAUGCUCUGAAUUCUGAUAUGUCGCCGUCCAUUUCCAACUCUACCUUUAACUCUGCUCCUUGGCAAUGAAGAAACUGGGAAGAGAGUAACGGCCCCAACUUUUUGUUGGGAAGAAAACAAAAUUUCGUUAUCAUGCUCACAAAUUAAGCAGUUCUUAAUGGAGAAUUUAUAUGUCACAGGUAUGACACGAUUGUUGGGCAACACAGAUACUUUGCACUGGCAUGGUAACUGAAACAAACCAUAGCAAAUAGCCAAAACUUACUAAUUACUAAACACACUUGAUCCAUCUUUUCGCUUUUACUUACGCUUAUAAACAAAGUUUUAAAUUUUUCAUCCUUAAAUUUAGAGUUGAUUUUUGGAUUUUGUUUUUCAUCGUGUUCCAACCUGUGUUUUUAGAUCACUAAGAAAACAUAUAUCAAAGUUUUAUUUAUAAAUUAUUAUUUUUUACAAAUAUGAAACUGCAAAACAAAAGGCUGCAUAGGUAAAUGACUUAAAUUGUCUUUAGCAAUGAUUAAAUUUUGAAAAUAUGCUGGAGCUACACCACGGUAAUGUUUCCCAUCGAUUCCGGUUUGCUUGUCCCUUUUUUAUGUUAUUUUUUUCCUUACGAGGAUGAACUUAUUUGGCGUUAUAUUGGAGUCGUAAUAAUAGUACCUUUCGACCCCUCCAUCCUUACGCAUAUCUACUGUUCCCUCCGAUUUUUUUUUAACACCAUUAGUUUUAUCUACACAACCAUUCAUCUUAUUUAAUUUUUCUGUGAAUAUACAGAAUUAUGAAUUAUGAUUAAAGUUACUUUAAUAAUAAAUCAAAUUAUAAAAAAAUAAUUAAUAAUUAACAAAAUAAUUAAUAAUUAUAUAAUUUUUAAAUAGGAUGAAUGGUUAAACAUAGAUAAAAAGUUAACCACGUUCAUUAGAAAAGGCGGAGGGAGUAUUACUCACCUAUAUGCAGAUGAAAGUAAACCACAGAGCUAGCCCUUGUUAAUCCAUCUAACUUUGCUACUCAUUUAUCCACAUUAAUGAGAGAAUUUCUAAAUCUUCAGUCGCCCUCUAGCAGCUUUAAGUAAAGCUACACGAGGAUCUAUUUUCUUUUAGUACUGAACCGCCCAUACGUUGCCUUCUCAACAGAAAUUUCUCGUAGCCAACUGCUUUGCCCUUUCUCAUAGUAUGUUUGUCAUGUGAAACAUGUAUUCUUGAAUGCCACGAGAAAGUUGAAAGGCACCUGCCUUCUAGUCUAUAAGAAAUCGCAGCAUGUACACCACCGCAGAAAGGAAGAGUAGUGGUUAUGCAUUCCCCAAUAGAAAUCUACAAAUUUCUAUAAUGGAGUGGUGUAUAUAAAGCCAGUCAACGCCUUAGCAUAACUUUAGCAUGAUUGUACUGUAGGAGAAUGAAAGCAACUGUAGAGAAAUGGUGAUGGAAAAACUGCACUGGUAUCAGUGGUCCUAAGUACAAGCCUACAGUGACAGAAAAUAAAGAUCCAUGGUAACUAUUUUAGCAGAUUAGAUCAUUAGACCAGUUAACAUUGUGAUCCAUGGUAUCAGCGGUCCUUGAGAUGUUGCACACAAGAGGCAACAAGGAUGAUCAUCGAUACAAUCUUCAUAGGAGAAACAACGUCAAACAGAUCGAUGUUUCAUACAUACUAUGCAGCGGCGUCCCGUGAAAUAUGAGACCCAGUUCAGAGCAUUAAGUAGAGGCCUAAUACCGAGUAAAAAAAACUAAUGACGCUUAUGUAAUGGUUGUAUUGAAAAAACACUCACGUCGCUUCAAGAAAUUUAGAAUUUAGACCGGACAUUUAUUUUCUUGUGGAAUAAAAAUCUUGAAAAACUAAACCGUUGAUAUAUACUUGUUAUACAAGACAACUUAGACCGAUUUCUAAUUAAAAAACUCAAAACUAUUACAUAUAAUUAGUGUACUUUAUAAAUCUUAGGGCCCAUAAUUUUUAGAUGCCUUGUGCGGUCGCCCACCUCGCACGGCCCCCGGACGCCCCUUUACUAUGCUAACUUCAUUACUUCAAGAAACAUCAUUUAAGGAACAUUUGUUAAUGAUAAGCCAACUUUUUUUUACUUACAGUUGCGGUUUUAUUAUACACAAAAUUUUCACACCUUCAUCUUUUCAUUUAUGCUUAUACAUAUAAACCAAAAAAUAAAGUUUUAAGUUGAUUUUGUCUUUUCACGGUAAUUAAUUUUUUAUAUUUGGCUUUUAGAUCGCUAACACUAUAUGCCCAUAUACAUAUACAUAUAUGUAUGUGUUUUUUAUUUAUAAAUUAUUUUUUUUCACGAAUACAUCGUUUUGAAAACCUGGACACCUCAAUAAUCCAAAACAAGCACGCAACUGGAAAAUUCUUGUCUAUCCUCACAAGGAUGUGGAAGGCAAAAGGAAGGAGGAAAAGACUUUGGCAUUUUGGCGCAAGCAAAUUCUCACAUCAUAAAGCUAAGCAAGUAGGCCGGUGUAACUAACAGGAAAAUAAGGGGCAGGUGCCCUGACUUAACCAGGUCAGGUUGACAAAUCAGAGGGCAUAUGAAAAUUUAUGGAUAUAUUUUUAUAGAUGUGUUUUUAGUGAUAUAAAAUUAAAUAUAAAAAAUAAACUAUGGUUAAAAAACCUUAAAAUUUACUCCAGAUAUAAAGAUAAAAAUUAAAAUUAUAGCUUAUAAAUAUAAGCAAAAAGCGAAAAGAUGACGCUGAGAAUCACCAACAAAAGCGCGCAAAAGCUUCGCACGUUAUUUCAUUAACAGAUGAGAACCACGUAUUCAAAUACGCAUUGUAAGGACUAACACUACAAAGGGAGAAUGGUAAUACUUGAUGCGAAGAAUGAAGAAUGACUGCUACACCAGGCGACAAGUACUUGCAAACCAAACGGGCGAUCGAAUAAACCUUUGCCGUAUUAGUAAAGCUAGUAAAAGACCAUCCGGUGAAGUUACUAGAGUAUCAUUUGAGCAGGGGCUAGAGUCCGUAGAGAAUUCGAGAUCUGGAAAACGCGGCUCGAACUUUGCCGUGUUACUUACCACCAAGAGAGGGGGGAACGAGGAGGGGUUUUAGUUACCUCGCUGGAGGCCGGAACGCGGCCUAAGGUGUAGAUUGGCCGGCGUGUUGGCGUCAUGGCGGAGGCCGCCGGGGGAACGGGGAGAGCGGGGUUGCCCGCGUGCCGCCCUAGUUGCGUCCGCAACGCAGGCCGCUGCCGGCCUGCCACGCCUGGAUGUUGGUAUCUUAGGG
rnacentral:lncRNA from 1 species